rnacentral:rRNA from 1 species
CUCGCGGCCUAUCAGCUUGUUGGUGAGGUAAUGGCUCACCAAGGCGUCGACGGGUAGCCGGCCUGAGAGGGUGACCGGCCACACUGGGACUGAGACACGGCCCAGACUCCUACGGGAGGCAGCAGUGGGGAAUAUUGCACAAUGGGCGCAAGCCUGAUGCAGCAACGCCGCGUGAGGGACGACGGCCUUCGGGUUGUAAACCUCUUUUAGCAGGGAAGAAGCGAAAGUGACGGUACCUGCAGAAAAAGCGCCGGCUAACUACGUGCCAGCAGCCGCGGUAAUACGUAGGGCGCAAGCGUUAUCCGGAAUUAUUGGGCGUAAAGAGCUCGUAGGCGGUUUGUCGCGUCUGCUGUGAAAUCCGGAGGCUCAACCUCCGGCCUGCAGUGGGUACGGGCAGACUAGAGUGCGGUAGGGGAGAUUGGAAUUCCUGGUGUAGCGGUGGAAUGCGCAGAUAUCAGGAGGAACACCGAUGGCGAAGGCAGAUCUCUGGGCCGUAACUGACGCUGAGGAGCGAAAGGGUGGGGAGCAAACAGGCUUAGAUACCCUGGUAGUCCACCCCGUAAACGUUGGGAACUAGUUGUGGGGUCCAUUCCACGGAUUCCGUGACGCAGCUAACGCA